rnacentral:rRNA from 1 species
ACCCGCUGAACUUAAGCAUAUCAAUAAGCGGAGGAAAAGAAACCAACAGGGAUUGCCCUAGUAACGGCGAGUGAAGCGGCAACAGCUCAAAUUUGAAAUCUGGCUCUUUUAGAGUCCGAGUUGUAAUUUGCAGAGGGCGCUUUGGCUUUGGCAGCGGUCCAAGUUCCUUGGAACAGGACGUCACAGAGGGUGAGAAUCCCGUACGUGGUCGCUGGCUAUUGCCGUGUAAAGCCCCUUCGACGAGUCGAGUUGUUUGGGAAUGCAGCUCUAAAUGGGAGGUACAUUUCUUCUAAAGCUAAAUAUUGGCCAGAGACCGAUAGCGCACAAGUAGAGUGAUCGAAAGAUGAAAAGCACUUUGGAAAGAGAGUCAAACAGCACGUGAAAUUGUUGAAAGGGAAGCGCUUGCAGCCAGACUUGCUUACAGUUGCUCAUCCGGGUUUCUACCCGGUGCACUCUUCUGUAGGCAGGCCAGCAUCAGUUUGGGCGGUAGGAUAAAGGUCUCUGUCACGUACCUCCUUUCGGGGAGGCCUUAUAGGGGAGACGACAUACUACCAGCCUGGACUGAGGUCCGCGCAUCUGCUAGGAUGCUGGCGUAAUGGCUGU